CCUACGGGAGGCAGCAGUGGGGAAUAUUGGGCAAUGGGCGCAAGCCUGACCCAGCAACGCCGCGUGAAGGAAGAAGGCUUUCGGGUUGUAAACUUCUUUUCUCAGGGACGAAGCAAGUGACGGUACCUGAGGAAUAAGCCACGGCUAACUACGUGCCAGCAGCCGCGGUAAUACGUAGGUGGCAAGCGUUAUCCGGAUUUACUGGGUGUAAAGGGCGUGUAGGCGGGAAAGCAAGUCAGAUGUGAAAACCAUGGGCUCAACCUGUGGCCUGCAUUUGAAACUGUUUUUCUUGAGUACUGGAGAGGCAGACGGAAUUCCUAGUGUAGCGGUGAAAUGCGUAGAUAUACGGAGGAACACCAGUGGCGAAGGCGGAUUGCUGGACAGUAACUGACGCUGAGGCGCGAAAGCGUGGGGAGCAAACAGGAUUAGAUACCCUUGUAGUC
rnacentral:rRNA from 1 species